AGUGAACGCUGGCGGCGUGCCUAAUACAUGCAAGUCGAACGAAGUGGCGCACGGGUGAGUAAUAUAUAGUUAAUCUGCACUACACAGCGGAACAACAGUUGGAAACGGCUGCUAAUACCUCACAGUGUAGGAUGAGACUAUAUCGUAUCAGCUAGUUGGUAAGGUAAUGGCUUACCAAGGCUAUGACGCGUAACUGGUCUGAGAGGAUGAUCAGUCACAUUCGAACUGAGACACGGUCCAGACUCCUACGGCAGGCAGCAGUAAGGAAUCAUGCGCAAUUGGGGAAACGCUGACAGAGCAACGCCGCGUGGAGGAUGGCACUUUUCGGAGCGUAAACUCCUUUUAUCAGGAAAGCGGUACCUGAUGAAUGAGCACCGGCUAACUCCGUGCCAGCAGCCGCGGUAAUAC
rnacentral:rRNA from 1 species